UACGGAGGGUGCAAGCGUUGUCCGGAAUCACUGGGCGUAAAGGGCGCGUAGGCGGCUCAUGAAGGCUGUGGUGAAAGUCCGGGGCUCAACCCCGGAUCGGCCGUGGCGACUCGUGGGCUGGAGCACUGUAGAGGCGGGUGGAAUUCCGGGUGUAGCGGUGGAAUGCGUAGAGAUCCGGAAGAACACCAGUGGCGAAGGCGGCCCGCUGGGCAGUGGCUGACGCUGAGGCGCGACAGCGUGGGGAGCAAACAGG
rnacentral:rRNA from 1 species